rnacentral:rRNA from 1 species
GACGAACGCUGGCGGCGUGCUUAACACAUGCAAGUCGGACGCUGAAGCUCAGCUUUUGUUGGGUGGAUGAGUGGCGAACGGGUGAGUAACACGUGAGUAACCUGCCCCCUUCUUUGGGAUAACGCCCGGAAACGGGUGCUAAUACUGGAUAUUCACUGGUCUUCGCAUGGGGGUUGGUGGAAAGGGUUUUUCUGGUGGGGGAUGGGCUCGCGGCCUAUCAGCUUGUUGGUGGGGUGAUGGCCUACCAAGGCUUUGACGGGUAGCCGGCCUGAGAGGGUGACCGGUCACAUUGGGACUGAGAUACGGCCCAGACUCCUACGGGAGGCAGCAGUGGGGAAUAAUGCACAAUGGGCGCAAGCCUGAUGCAGCGACGCCGCGUGAGGGAUGGAGGCCUUCGGGUUGUGAACCUCUUUCGCUCAUGGUCAAGCCGCAACAAUGGUUGUGGUGAGGGUAGUGGGUAAAGAAGCGCCGGCUAACUACGUG